rnacentral:misc_RNA from 1 species
AAUUGUUUAUUCUUGUGGCGUAUUCCAUUGAACAUGGCUUAUUUGUCUCGCAGAGAAAUCGAGGACUUGAAGCCAUCGGUGGAAAGGGCGGUUUAUAAAACGUUGGGAAACAGUGACUCUUCAGUGCUCAGAGUCGUCAUAGAUUGUUUGACUAGUGGAUAUGAUCGUCGGAAAAUUGCUGAUAAACUCGACUCCUACAUAGACAGUAAAAAGGCUAGCCGUCUUUCCGAAAGGAUACAAGACUUGCUGGACGAUGUCGAUGCUACUCGUAAGUCAAAGAAACGCUCAUAUGAUGAUGACCGAGAUAGAGAUCGAGAUCGAGAUUCAAAAAAGUCGAAAAACGACAGCAAUAGAGAUAGAGAGCGGGACAGAGAGUCCAGAAGUAGAGACUCGAUGUCGGGACGUGAAAAGGAAAAACACCUGUCUGAUAAAGACGGCAUAAUGAGAAAUUUAAAAAUGGAUCCUUUACCACCCCCGAGCAAAAACAGCAUUAGUUUGGCUAAUAUAAAAAUUCCUCAACCAAGUAUUUAUGGUAUCCCCACGGGGUUACUAAAUAAAGGCGAUGCCGAAAAGGCCAGGAAAAUCGCUCAAUUGCAAGCCCAAAUUAAAAAUAAACUCUCUACUGGCAUAUUGGGAAAUGCAAUUCAAAUUCCUAUUAUCCCAACUAAACCUCAACCUCUAAUUUUGGAUGAGGAGGGAAGGACUAUUGAUAAAUCAGGUAAAGCCAUUCAACUUACACAUGUAGCACCCACACUAAAAGCCAAUUUAAGAGCCUUGAAGAGAGAACAGUACAAGGAGAAAGUUGACAAAAGGGAUGAUGAUAAUUCUGAGACAAGUUUUAUUGAUCCCAGAAUUGGUUUAAAACCGGCUCUUAGAAAUAAAAGGGCAUUAAGGUUCCAUGAACCUGGAAAAUUUCAACAAUUGGCCGAAAGGCUGAGAAUGAAAUCUCAACUGGAAAAAUUGCAAAAUGAAAUUUCUCAAAUCGCCAAAAAAACCGGCAUCUCGUCAGCUACAAAGUUGGCCUUGAUUGCCAAAUCGGAAGGUGUUACUGAAGAAGUACCGCUAAUGGAAUGGUGGGAUUCCGUUAUUCUGGAAGAUAACUUGGACACUCAAACUCAAACGGGAAAGAUUGCCAUUAAGCAAAAUUCCAUCAACAAUUUAGUCGAACAUCCAACGCAAAUGAGAUGUCCUACUGAUCCAAUCAAGCCCGUUUACAUGCCAGUUUUUCUGACGAAAAAGGAGCGAAAGAAGUUGCGAAGACAGAACAGAAGAGAAACAUGGAAGGAGGAGCAGGAAAAGAUCCGAUUAGGCCUGGAAGCACCUCCAGAACCAAAAUUGCGAAUUUCGAAUUUAAUGAGAGCUCUUGGAACUGAGGCAGUUCAGGAUCCAACUAAAAUCGAGGCUCAUGUCAGGGAGCAAAUGGCGAAAAGACAGAAAGCCCAUGAGGACGCCAAUGCAGCACGUAAACUAACAGCUGAACAGAAAAGGGAUAAGAAAGUGAAAAAACUGAAGGAGGACACGACUUUGGGUGUGCAAGUAUCCAUUUAUCGAAUUCUUCAUCUUCACGAGUUAGCCGCAAAGAAAUUCAAGGUGGAAACCAACGCAAAACAAUUGUACAUGAGUGGAUGUGUAGUUCUUUAUCCAGAUUGCUGUGUCGUUGUGGUGGAAGGAGGACCUAAGCAGCAAAAGAAAUAUAAAAGAUUAAUGUUGAAUCGAAUUAAAUGGGAGGAGGACAUUGUUAAGGACCCAGAUGGUAGAGAUGUGCCCAACAAAUGCGUGUUGGUUUGGGAAGGCACAACAAAGCAGAGGAAUUUUGGAGAAUUGAAAUUCAAAGUUUGUCCCACAGAACGGUUAGCCAGGGAACAUUUCAAAAAACAUAAAGUUGAGCAUUAUUGGGAUUUGGCAUACAGUGGCGCUGUUUUGGAACAGUCCAGCGAUUUAAUUGAUUGAAUAUUGAGCACCCUUGACAUGCAGAGAAUAAUAAUUUUUCACAGUUUUCGUUUACAACUUUGUAACGUGAGUUAUUAAUUUGCAAAAUAAUGCAGUAGUUUCGCAGUUUUAUGUUUUUUGUCUAUUUUGAUUUUUGCGUUUCAAUUGGUUUUUGCAAUUAUUUGCUGUCAAUGUGUCAAUCAGCUUUUGAAUAGAAAUUGUUACAUAUUUGCUUCUACUUCUAAUUGAGUAUGAUUGAAGUCUAUAAACAGAUCCUCGAAACAGUUUGCAUAGCAGGUAAGAACGUAGAUAGAUAUCUUUUAUUUUCCACUCAAAUCCACUUAUUUUUACUAUUGUUAGGAAUUAGUUUAGGAAACACUUUGGUUUUUAUUAUAACAUUGGGAAGCACACAAAUAAACUCGUCAUAUGCAA